rnacentral:rRNA from 1 species
UACGAAGGGUGCAAGCGUUAAUCGGAAUUACUGGGCGUAAAGCGCGCGUAGGUGGUUCAGUAAGUUGGAAGUGAAAUCCCCGGGCUCAACCUGGGAACUGCAUUUAGAGACUGCAAAGCUAGAGUGUGGCAGAGGGGGUGGAUUCACGUGUAGCAGUGAAAUGCGUAGAGAUGUGGAGGAACACCAGAGGCGAAGGCGCCUUCCUGGACGAGUAUUGACGCUGAGGCGCGAAAGCGUGGGGAU